CAGAACAAAGGUAACCUGCUCGCUACUAAUGCCAACUAGUGGACAGGGCCACAAUUUUGACUCGAAUGCCGUCGGAGACCCAGGUACAUUCUUUGGGGGUACAUUCCUCAACGCAUCAGCCGAUUUUCAACUUUGUCAGGGAAUGAAGAUUAUGGUAAAUAAUAUUACUGCUUGAAAGAAAUAUAGGAAAAAAAAGUGAUCUUUUUGAAUGUUGAUUUUUCUUUGUAUUUUCAAAAUAAAUUUUUUUCAUUGAUCA